UGGGGAAUAUUGCACAAUGGGCGCAAGCCUGAUGCAGCCAUACCGCGUGUAUGAAGAAGGCCUUCGGGUUGUAAAGUACUUUCAGCGGGGAGGAAGGGAGUAAAGUUAAUACCUUUGCUCAUUGACGUUACCCGCAGAAGAAGCACCGGCUAACUCCGUGCCAGCAGCCGCGGUAAUACGGAGGGUGCAAGCGUUAAUCGGAAUUACUGGGCGUAAAGCGCACGCAGGCGGUCUGUCAAGUCGGAUGUGAAAUCCCCGGGCUCAACCUGGGAACUGCAUUCGAAACUGGCAGGCUAGAGUCUUGUAGAGGGGGGUAGAAUUCCAGGUGUAGCGGUGAAAUGCGUAGAGAUCUGGAGGAAUACCGGUGGCGAAGGCGGCCCCCUGGACAAAGACUGACGCUCAGGUGCGAAAGCGUGGGGAGCAAACAGG
rnacentral:rRNA from 1 species